AUGACUACUGAAUGGAGCGUUGAGAACACUCGGAUUGUUUGCGAGUUGUUUGUCGUGCAAGUGAAUGAUGGAAAUAGGCCAAGAAAUUAUUUGACACCAAGUCCAUUUCAUGAGGUGACAAGGCAAUUCAAAAUGUGAACUCAACACACACAUAUGCAAUUGAAAAACAAAUGGGACAAGCUUAAAGGUGAUUUCAGCGUAUUCAAGAAACUCAAGUUGCGGGAGACCGGAGCCGGAUAGGGCUAUGUGAACAAUACCGUGUCACAAGAUGAUGAUUGGUGGAAAAGGCCAAAAUUAGAUAUUAAAGGUUGUGGCAAGUUCAAGAAGAAAGGACUAGCUAAUGAAGAAAACUUGUGGACUAUGUUUGAGAUCACAAGUGAUCGUACUAACCAUUGGAAUCCUUCUUCAGGCACACCUCCUCCCUCUAGUGCGGCCGUGAAAGCCAGCAUCAAUGUUGAUGAGAUUGAAGAUCUUGAUUUGGAUGAUACCGAAGAACAAGCAUCUCAGGCAACACCUAGUUCAUCUAGAGUGAGCCUUGGAAUUAUCAUUCCGGAGAAGAACAAGAAAUUCAAGACCGCACAAGUGACGUGUGAGCAAGUUAAAAGGAUUGGUCAUAUUGACGAGGCUUAUCACUCAUUGUUUUAGUCUUUCCUAAAUCAAGAUGAGGCGGAUUGUGUCACCUAGGUUAUGGAAGUCAUUACUUGUGGUGCACCAGCUAAUACCAAUAAGUUCUUCAUGGCUUUUGAGUUGUUUGUGAAGAGGGCGCAAAGGGAGAUGUUUCUUUACAUGUCUCUUGAGUCCCGAAUGGGUUGGUUGCAUAGGAAGUAUGACUUAAAGUAUGGGAAGUAG
rnacentral:rRNA from 1 species